UGAAGGUUGCUGAAGAUGCUGGUUGUACCGUGUUGAUGGCACGAUCGAUCUUGCUGAUGACGUGUCGAAAUUGUUGACAAUGAUAGCGGCAGCGCCCAAGCGACCAGGAAGACGAGCAGUGGUGAAGAACUUGAGCAGUCACGCGGAGUGCUUCCCAAAAACCUUAUUCGCCCUCUCCCGGUGCAAGAUCUCAAGAGCGAGAGUUUCGGAGACCUGCUCUUCUAAUUACCGGUGCACGCCAACACCGGGAGUAGACUACAGCAGCAACACAAUAGAGAAAGAGGUUGACCAAUCAGGCACCAAACAACAUGCAUGUGGAUCCUCAUUGUGCAUCCCAUGAACAUGAGGAGUCCAUCACGGAUGAUGAAAUUUUGAGGUAAGAACACGACGCCUUUGAUGCAUGACAAAGGAACCGAUUGAACUUCAACCGUCAAGAUAUGAGAGAAAAAGAAUUGCAAGGACGACAACAGAGGCUAAGGAACAAUUUUGGAAGCACGACUACACCAAGAUCAACUCUGGGACAAGUCAAAACAACCCCACCUUCCGCUACACGAUUUGCUGCCCCUUUCUCGAGUAGGGCACGUUCAGCAACACCUCUGACACCAUCACAAGCACCCAAGGUAAGCAAAUCUACUAGUGUGCAGGCUCCAACCAAGAGCUCUUAUUCGGUUGCUUCUACGGGCUGUACAACAGGGAUUGUAUGCCACCGUUGAAACGGAAUAUGUCAUAUCAUAAAGGAUUUCCUAAGUCAGCGAGCGUACAUUGCAAUAGAAGACAGUGGCUAUGUAAGUACUAGUGAUGUCGAUGAUGAUUAGUCUCUUGCAGCUAACCAUGCAAGUGAUGAGGACGAACAAGAGAUGAAUAGCGAUCAUGGGGAAGAAUUGAGGGCCACUGCUAUGGAGGAUUAUAUGACCCUCAUUGUGCAGCGAGUGUUAAGCACUCAAAUGGAGAAAGCGGGACAGAUAAAAUGCCACAAUUUAUUUUAGAUGUUCCUCAUAGUCAAGGAUUGCCAUGUUCGUGUCAUUAUUGA